rnacentral:rRNA from 1 species
CCGAAUGGGGAAACCCAGUGUGACUCGUCACACUAUCAUUAACUGAAUCCAUAGGUUAAUGAGGCGAACCGGGGGAACUGAAACAUCUAAGUACCCCGAGGAAAAGAAAUCAACCGAGAUUCCCCCAGUAGCGGCGAGCGAACGGGGAGGAGCCCAGAGCCUGAAUCAGCAUGUGUGUUAGUGGAAGCGUCUGGAAAGGCGCGCGAUACAGGGUGACAGCCCCGUACACAAAAGCGCAUGUGCUGUGAGCUCGAUGAGUAGGGCGGGACACGUGGUAUCCUGUCUGAAUAUGGGGGGACCAUCCUCCAAGGCUAAAUACUCCUGACUGACCGAUAGUGAACCAGUACCGUGAGGGAAAGGCGAAAAGAACCCCGGCGAGGGGAGUGAAA